rnacentral:rRNA from 1 species
GACGAACGCUGGCGGCGUGCUUAACACAUGCAAGUCGAACGGAAAGGCCCUGCUUUGGUGUGGUGCUCGAGUGGCAAACGUGUGUGUAACACGUGUGUAACCUGCCCUUCACUUUGGGAUCACUUCAGGAAACUGGGGCUAAUACCGGAUAGGUGCUCCUGCUGCAUGGUGGGGGUUGGAAAGUUUCGGCGGUUGGGGUUGGACUCGCGGCUUAUCAGCUUGUUGGUGGGGUAGUGGCUUCCCAAGGCUUUGCCGGGUAGCCGGCCUGAGAGGGUGACCGGCCACAUUGGGACUGAGAGUCGGCCCAGACGCCUACGGGAGGCAGCAGUGGGGAAUAUUGGACAAUGGGCGGAAGCCUGAGGCAGCAACGCCGCGUGUGGGAUGACGGCCUUCUGGUUGUAAACCGCUUUCGCCUGUGACGAAGCGUGAGUGACGGUAAUGGGUAAAGAAGCACCGGCUAACUACGUG